UCAGGUGUCCUAGGCGUAGAGGAACCACACCAAUCCAUCCUGAACUUGGUGGUUAAACUCUACUGCGAUGACGAUACUGUAGGGGAGGUCCUGCAAAAAAAAGUAGCUCGACACCAGGA
rfam:Nicotiana attenuata strain TT chromosome 11, whole genome shotgun sequence.